GUGGGGAAUUUUGGACAAUGGGCGCAAGCCUGAUCCAGCAAUGCCGCGUGCAGGAAGAAGGCCUUCGGGUUGUAAACUGCUUUUGUACGGAACGAAACGGUCCUGGUUAAUACCUGGGGCUAAUGAUGGUACCGUAAGAAUAAGCACCGGCUAACUACGUGCCAGCAGCCGCGGUAAUACGUAGGGUGCGAGCGUUAAUCGGAAUUACUGGGCGUAAAGCGUGCGCAGGCGGUGCUGUAAGACAGGCGUGAAAUCCCCGGGCUCAACCUGGGAAUUGCGCUUGUGACUGCAGUGCUGGAGUACGGCAGAGGGGGAUGGAAUUCCGCGUGUAGCAGUGAAAUGCGUAGAUAUGCGGAGGAACACCGAUGGCGAAGGCAGUCCCCUGGGCCUGUACUGACGCUCAUGCACGAAAGCGUGGGGAGCAAACAGGAUUAGAUACCCCUGUAGUCC
rnacentral:rRNA from 1 species